GAUGAAGAACGUAGCGAAAUGCGAUACGUAAUGUGAAUUGCAAAUUCAGUGAAUCAUCGAGUCUUUGAACGCACAUUGCGCCCCCUGGUAUUCCGGGGGGCAUGCCUGUCCGAGCGUCAUUGCUGCCCUCAAGCACGGCUUGUGUGUUGGGCCCCGUCCUCCGAUCCCGGGGGACGGGCCCGAAAGGCAGCGGCGGCACCGCGUCCGGUCCUCGAGCGUAUGGGGCUUUGUCACCCGCUCUGUAGGCCCGGCCGGCGCUUGCCGAUCAACCCAAAUUUUUUAUCCAGGUUGACCUCGGAUCAGGUAGGGAUAACCGCUGAACUUAAGCAUAUCAAUAAGCGGAGGA
rnacentral:misc_RNA from 1 species